rnacentral:rRNA from 1 species
AUUGAACGCUGGCGGCAGGCCUAACACAUGCAAGUCGAACGAGUGGCGGACGGGUGAGUAAUGUCUGGGAAACCGCCUGAUGGAGGGGGAACAAUAAUGGAAACGGUAGCUAAUACCGCAUACCAUCGGAUGUGCCCAGAUGGGAUUAGGUAGUAGGUGGGGCAAAGGCCCACCUAGGCGACGAUCCCUAGCUGGUCGGAGAGGAUGACCAGCCACACGGGAAGUGGGACACGGUCCAGACUCCUACGGGAGGCAGCAGUGGGGAAUAUUGCACAAUGGGCUAAAGCCUGAUGCAGCCAUGCCGCGUGUAUGUAGAAGGCCUUCGGUUUGUAAAGUACUUUCAGCGGGGAGGCGUUACCCGCAGAAGAAGCACCGGCUAACUCCGUGCCAGCAGCCGCGGUAAUAC